rnacentral:rRNA from 1 species
CCAUGCAUGUCUAAGUACAUACUCUAUCUUCCUGCGUGUGAAAGCACAAUGGUCGUGAGAGAGAGAAACCGCGGACGGCUCAUUAAAUCAGUUGUGGUCUUAAAUGGAGAGUUUUCCUUAAUUGGAUAACUGUGGUAAUUCUAGAGCUAAUACAUGCAACAUAUAAGUCCGACGCUUGUGUAACAGCUCGCAUACGACUGCUUUUAUUAGACCNAAAACUCGCCGAGGGUGUGUGUAGUAAUAUGCAUAUCCCUAUGACUCGUGUUAUGGUGACUCUGGAUAACCUCUAAGACAAGCGCAUAUAGUACCCUUAACGGGGGAACUGGCGCUACCACUUUUCGAGUAUCUGCCUUAUCAGCUAUGUAUCGUUUGUUAUGUGCACACGAUGGCUUUGACGGGUAACGGGGAAUCUGAGUUCGAUUCCGGAGAGGCAGCCUGAGAAACGGCUACCACGUCCAAGGACGGCAGCAGGCACGCAAAUUACCCAAUCCCAGUACCUGGGGGAGGUAGUAACAGUAUCUAACGAUGCGAACGUUUCGUAAGAAGCUUCGCAAUCGGAAUGAGCAUGAACUUUUGUUUCUUUCUAAAGCCUUUGUUGAGAACCAACUGAAGGGCAAGUCUGGUGCCAGCAGCCGCGGUAAUUCCAGCUUCAGCGGCAUGUAUCAAUGUUGCUGCGGUUAAAAGGCUCGCAGUUGAAUGUCAGAUCAAUGAGUCUAAGCGGUGGAUGUUGUGGCUUGCAUGUUAGUGGUGGUGUGGCUUUGACUAUGUUUUUGUGCUGCUCCUAAUGCAUUAAGGGGAUUCGUUCCCGUGGCUCUACUGCCGCUCUUGUGUGCUUAAGUGCUACAGGUGUAUUGUAUCCAUUUUGUAAGCGGUGCAUAAUAUUGAUUACGCAUCGUCACAUUUAAGCUGCCCUUUGCUUUCCUCCAUCCGUUAUAUACUGCUGGAUUCUCGGUCAAUGGAAGAACUCUGUUUACGCAUUAUAUAUACUCGCCUUGGUGUGUUCGCGCGCUUUGGCUUCUUGUGUGUGUAUUUGUGUUCUUGUUCAGUAUGACACCCUGAGUAAAUCGGAGUGCUCAAAGCGGUCGAGUAAUGAGUAUAUGUAAUGUAUGCUCUUACAAGAAUUGAUUUAUCUUGACGUGUGCGAAAGUGCACUGAUAGAGACUGUCCUGGUUUUGCAUGGUAUGUCGAAAGACGCCAUCAUACGUUGGUUACGAGUUGGUUGCGACAGUUGACUUAUGCUUACUGUUCGGGGGCUCAAGGUAAAACUUUUGCUUCUAUGUUUGCUUGUUGGCUACAACUCCAACGUUGAUGGAAUGAUAAAGAGAGAUGGUCGAGGACAACAGUAUUGCGAGGCGAGCGGUGAAAUGCUAUGACCCCCGCAAGACUACCUGAAGCGAAUGCGUCUGUCAAGGACGUUUCAUUAAUCCCAGGCGUGGAGCUUGCGGCUUAAUUUGACUCAACACGGGGAACCUUACCAGGCCAGCACUCUUGAAUGAUUGACAGAUUGAGAGUUCUUUCUCGAUUCAGUGGAUGGUGGUGCAUGGCCGUUCUUAGUUGGUGGAGUGAUCUGUCUGGUUAAUUCCGAUAACGAACGAGACUCUCCCCUGCUAAAUAUGUCGGUUGGAUCUUGUGUCCCGAGAGUUGUGUAUUGAGAUGCGUGCGCUUGUAAUUGAUUCAUUUCGAGAGCAGGUGUGCAAGUUUCCUUCACGCUCCAAGUCCGCCGCAUGCAUGUAGCUUGGUGUACUUGCACUUGUUAAUCGCGCGCGCUAGGGGAGAGAGCUGUGAUCUUUUGCCUUGUGCAUUAGGUUCUUCUUCUUCUUCUCUUUGUGUGUGUGUGCUCUUUUGCUUGUGCUCAUGUCUAUGUGCAAUGACAAAGUCUUCUUAGAGGUAUAAACGGCCCUUAAGCCGUAUGAGACUGUGAGCAAUAACAGGUCUGUUAUGCCCUUUGAUGUUCUGGGCCGCACGCGUGCUACAAUGCCGGGUACAGCAGGUGUUAUCCUUCUCCGAGAGGAGUUGGUAAUCCUGUGAAAGCCCUUGAACUCUAUAUAUGUUUCAAUGAGCAAUUUGUUUUGUUCAGCAUUGAAAUUAAUGGCAUGCUUGGGCCUGGGGCUUGCAAUUGUUUCCCACAAACGAGGAAUGCCUAGUAGUGACUGGUCACAAAGUGGUUGCGACUCAGUCCCUGCCCUUUGUACACACCGCCCGUCGCUACUACCGAUUGGGUGGAGAAGUGAGGACCUUGGAGUGUGGCGAGCCUAUAUGAUUCCUUCAUUGUGUUUCUAAGGUUUACUGCAUAAAGAGGUUCAAACUUUUCUACCUAGAGGAAGUAAAAGUCGAACAAGG